AUACGGAGGGUGCAAGCGUUAUCCGGAAUCAUUGGGUUUAAAGGGUCCGCAGGCGGACUAAUAAGUCAGUGGUGAAAUCCUCUCGCUUAACGAGAGAACUGCCGUUGAAACUGUUAGUCUUGAAUUCGGUCGAAGUAGGCGGAAUGUGUCAUGUAGCGGUGAAAUGCAUAGAUAUGACACAGAACACCGAUAGCGAAGGCAGCUUACUAGACCUGGAUUGACGCUCAUGGACGAAAGCGUGGGGAGCGAACAGGAUUAGAAACCCUAGUAGUCC
rnacentral:rRNA from 1 species